AUCUAUCUAUUACAUAUAUAAAAUGCUUGUUUUGUGCUUGUACUAAAGGAAUGAAAGAGAAGAAAUUAUGUGAUAUAUAUAUCUAUAUAUUGGUGAAGAUGUGAUGUUCAUCUCUCAAUUUCUCUAAUUUUCUUUUCUAUUGACAAACAUCACCCUACCAAACCAAACAAACCCUAUCACCUUUUUUUUUUUUUUCCCUUUCCUUCUCUUCCUCAUCUUUUCUCUUUUCUUUCCCUUUCAAUUUCUAUACUUACUCCAUUUUUAUCCCUUACAUAUAUUAUAAGGGAGGUUCUAAGUAUAUGUCAAAUGUCAUACCGCAUAAACCCCUAUAAGAGUUUUGAUAUUAGUUUAAUAUAUGUCCUUAAGCCCUAAAAUUAAUUUUAGAAAAAUUAGUGUAUUUUUGCCCGGCCUUUAAUAAAUGAUUUUAUUUAUUUAUUUAUUUGUGGUUUGUUUAAUAAAUUUAAUGCGUAUGCCUGGCUCCCUGUAUGCCAUACACAGAGCCCAUCGGACCAUCGAUGGCCUCUGUGGAUGGCGUAUGAGGAGCCAAGCAUGCCUCUUUUAAUAUCUUUCCAUUUCCAUUUUUUACUUUGUAUUUUUAAUUAAAACUUAUACACUUUAAAUGAGAUAAGUAUCAUUUUCUAUAAAUAAGAUUUUAGUUUUGAUUCUUAUUUAGCUUUUUUUUUUUCUGUCAUUUAAUAAUAAUUAAAAAAUUCUUAUAUAUAGUUGAAUAAACUAUAUUCUUCUUUAUUCUAAAUAGACUAUAUUCUUUUGUGAGAAUAUAAUCCCUAAAAUUAUCUCAAUGAUCUUUAUCAACAGGUUGAAGCACAGAGAAUAAAGUAAAGGGAUUGGUGCUUUAAUAAGGGUUGACAAAGGAAAAGAGGAGACUAGUGUUUUGUCUAGCAACAUGAAUAAACCAGUUCAAGGGUAAUGUUUCGGAAGACCCUUUCGACACUCUUGUCUAGCCAGAGAGUUCGAAUUAUGGAAGACAUAAAAGAAAAGAGAAACAAUCACAAUUAGAGAAAGACGAGAUAGACCAAUGAUAGAAGCACUCAUGAUUAUAAUGACAAUUUGGUUUGUAGGUGUGUCGAAUCGUGGGUAUUUAUAGGUAGUGGUGAUGGAAAUUUUUUGGGAUUUGAAAUGAUGAGGUGACAAUCUACUCAGGUUGGAAUAAACCCCAAUGAUGAUAAAGAUUUGGUGUGUUUAUUGGACAUUUCUCAUAUACUACGUUUAUAGUAGGAAAAAUAAGUAUUAAAACUUAAUGUCCAAAGUGCUUUGAUAAGUAAGUAUUGCGGUUUAUUCAAGCACUUUCUUGCUCGUUCGUGCACAAUGUGUUUUCAGAGGCAGAAAGCUACUGGAAAGUUUUUUGGCGUUUACUCAUUCGAGCACCAUAUGUGCUCAUCUAAGCAACCCUGUACAGUCGUUUAUGUUCGUGGAAUCUAAUAGUUGCUAUUGUAAGUUACGUUGCCUUGUAUUUAUUCAUUAAUAUUGAUUGAUAUAUCAGUUAUGUGGGAUGGAAAACACGCAAGCUAUGGUAUGUAUAUUGGAAGUUGUAUGAAGAGAAUAAGAGAUAUUCUACAUCAUUCUAUCUUUGAGAAUUCCUGAAAAUUUUCCUAUUUUUUAUUCAUGUGUAAAGAGAAAUAACAAGAAAUAACAAUAAGCAUCAUACAUAUCUCUUAUUAAUUGAGUUGAUUUAUGCUUUCUGUACUUUCAUAAACAACACCUUACUUUCAUGUCUUAAUAACUGAUGAAAGUAUCAUUAAAACGUGAACACAUGCUUACUGUAUAGGUGUGUGCUCGAACAAGCAUCUAUAGUGCUCAAACGAGCGUUCAAGCAAAUGCCAACAACAUUAAAUAGAAUCUGUAGAUGUUUGCGCCUCUUGGAAAAACAUAGUGCUCAAGCAAGCACUAAAGUGCUCGAACAAGCACUCUGUUGAUCGAACAAGCACAACUUGUUUGGCACUCUUUUG